rnacentral:lncRNA from 1 species
AGUAGACGGGUGGUGGGUAGUAUACCUUCUUCGGUGGUGGUGGAGAGUAGACGGGUGGUGGGUAGUAUACCUUCUUCGGUGGUGGUGGAGAGUAGACGGGUGGUGGGUAGUAUACCUUCUUCGGUGGUGGUGGUGAGUAGACGGGGGGUGGGUAGUAUACCUUCUUCGGUGGUGGUGGUGAGUAGACGGGAGGUGGGUAGUACACCUUCUUCGGUGGUGGUGGUGAGUAGACGGGAGGUGGGUAGUACACCUUCUUCGGUGGUGGUGGUGAGUAGACGGGAGGUGGGUAGUAUACCUUCUUUGGCGGUGGUGGUGAGUAGACUGGUGGUGGGUAGUAUACUUUCUUUGGUGGUGGAGGAGACUUAUAGACGGGUGGUGGAUAGUAUACCUUCUUGGGAGGUGGGGGAGACUUGUAGACUGGAGGUGGGUAGUAUACCUUCUUUGGUGGUGGAGGAGACUUAUAGACGGGAGGAGGGUAGUAUACCUUCUUGGGAGGUGGGGGAGACUUGUAGACGGGAGGUGGGUAGUACACCUUCUUGGGAGGUGGGGGAGACUUGUAGACGGGAGGUGGGUAGUACACCUUCUUGGGAGGCGGGGGAGACUUGUAGACGGGAGGUGGGUAAUACACCUUCUUAGGUGGCGGAGGAGACUUGUAGACGGGAGGUGGGUAAUAAACCUUCUUGGGUGGCGGAGGAGACUUGUAGACAGGAGGUGGGUAAUACACCUUCUUUGGUGGUGGUGGAGAGUAAACUGGUGGUGGAUAGUAAACCUUCUUGGGUGGUGGUGGAGAGUGAUACACUGGAGGUGGAUAGUAUGAUUUCUUGGGUGGUGGAGGAGAAUGGUAUACUGGAG